GGGACAUAGAGUUUAACACUAAUUUGUGGUUUAUUUAUUAUACUCGUGAUAAUAAUAUAGGUACUCGAUGGGCCGGGACAAACAAAACAGUUCUGGACUGCUGAGCCUAGGUGCCGAAUUUCCGUAAGGUUUAAAGGUCAUUAGUGACAACAAAAUGACAAUAAUUAGGCUUAUACAAACUCUGGCAGUAUCUCGAACAUCGAGGACAUAGAGUACUUUUUUAAGUAAUUUAUGAAUAUGGAGAAUGUUUGAUAGUCCUAAAAACUUGUGGAGUUUUCAAACGCUCGAGGCAAGGAGGUUUUUAUUCGCUCUUUUCAUUGGGAUUCAAAACAGUUCAAUUAAGCUCACCCUCAUACACCAUUGCAUCGAAGCCUACAGGAGCACUUGACCACUGCUAGAGGUGCACUGAAAAGCUCAUGCUCUGAUUCCUGCCUGUAGCAUGUAUAACAUGCAACUCAGUAGAUUUGACUAUGGGCCAAAAAUCUUAAUGUCAACAAAUUGUAUACCUAUUAGGAAGGAAACAUGCUGACCAGCCAGCACAUUGCAUCUGGGUUGCAGUAAUAUACCAUGGUAUCAAAAUGAAUGGGUAUCAUCCAUUUAUAGGCAGUUUAUGAAGAAAAAACUAAGAAAACAGAUUAUGUACAGUUUAGGUACAACCACUGAUUGUUUACUCAAUAGAAAGCCAGCUGAUGUCUAAGGUUGACCGACGCAUUGGUGAUCGGUAUACUCGUCGAGUUGCGAUUUCAACUUCUGAAUGGCAUUGCAACUGUUUCAGCUGAAGAAUGCCAGAAGACGUGGACUUGCCUUCGCAACAAUUGCAGAAAAGCCCUAAAAAAUAGAGUGUACAAAAGCGGGGAUGCUGCCAAAAAGAAGCUACAAAUAAAAUUUGAAAAGGAACUCAAUUUUUUGCGGAAAUUCAUUAAAAAAGCUCUCAAAUUUAGAUUCCUCAUCCGAAGAUAUACGGUAUUCCGAAGAUACGCAGCGUUUUGAAAAUACACAAUAUCCUGAAACAUCAUUCCCUAUUCCUGAAGUACAAUCACCUGUAUCUCAAAUGCCGAUCUCUGGUGCGUGUGAUUCAUCACAUCUUAGACCGGUUGGACACGUUCAUCAACAAUCGUACUUGACUUCAUCGAAAGCACAGUGAACAGAAAUAACAGCAGAAAUAUUAAAAAAAUACAUAGAAUACCAAAAGAAAGAUCAACACCCGGUGGAGAUAAUUUAAUCAAGCAAUGGCGGCAACGGUGAAAUCGUUAUCACCAAAAUUACAGGCUGACGUAAAACGAGACGUUCUACUUAGCGACACAUCCGAAGAACAGAGUCCGAUGUGAUUAUAUAGCGAAAAGAAAAUAAGUACGUUACGGAAUGAUUUCGUUAAUCAGACAAUACCUAUUGUAACGGUGUUUUGAGAAUUUAUAUAUUUUAUUUCGUUUCGGAAAUAUAAAAUUGAACAAGUCGAUCUGACAUCCACAGCGAAGGAGAACGACCGAAAUGUACUAUGUCGAGAGAACAAGUAGUCUUGCACAUAGAUCUUUGUUCUACGGAUGAGACGAAUUGUAGCGAAUCGCUACAAAUCUCUUGUAUAUUUCUGAUAUAGUCUUCUAAAAGUUUAGUUUUAUAUUUAAAUUCUAAAUUUAAAUGUGUCUGUUUUUGGCGCCUUUUCAUUAACUUUAGCUAGUGUUUUGCUGUUUUACUUUGAUAGCGACAACAUGUUUUCUAGUAAAUUAUUCAAAGCUGUAAGUACAUUUGCUUGGCCUUGCUCAUUUGUUGUUAGCACCCAACCUUUAACCCAUUGAUACAGUACGCUACACAUAUUGUUACUGAAGCAGAAAUAAAACAUUCAGAAUCUAUGGAGUUAGCCACUGUCGUGCGGCAAAAUCGUCCUUCAACAUUGAGGCUUGAUUCGUAUCGCGUAGACGCUAUGCGACGCGGCGCGGGCUGCAUUAAGGCGAGCAAUGCAACAUAAACUAUUUCCUCAACAGAAUAAGUUGCCUUGUUCAUUUCAUUAAACAAAC